GCGGGGGUGCCCGAGCCAGGCCAAAGGGGCAGGGCUCAAGACCCUGUGGCGUAGGCCUACGUGGGUUCAAAUCCCACCCCCCGCACCA
rnacentral:tRNA from 1 species